rnacentral:rRNA from 1 species
AUACGUAGGGUGCAAGCGUUAAUCGGAAUUACUGGGCGUAAAGCGUGCGCAGGCGGUUUUGGAAGACAGAGGUGAAAUCCCCGGGCUCAACCUGGGAACUGCCUUUGUGACUGCAAGGCUAGAGUACGGCAGAGGGGGAUGGAAUUCCGCGUGUAGCAGUGAAAUGCGUAGAUAUGCGGAGGAGCACCGAUGGCGAAGGCAAUCCCCUGGGCCUGUACUGACGCUCAUGCGCGAAAGCGUGGGGAGCAAACAGGAUUAGAUCCCCUGGUAGUCCACGCCCUAAACGAUGUCAACUGGUUGUUGGGUCUUCAUUGACUCAGUAACGAAGCUAACGCGUGAAGUUGUCCGCCUGGGGAGUACGGCCGCAAGGUUGAAACUCAAAUGAAUUGACGGGG